GACGGAAGGUGCAAGCGUUGCUCGGAAUUACUGGGCGUAAAGCGCGUGUAGGCGGUUGUUCAAGUCAGGUGUGAAAGCCUUGAGCUCAACUCAAGAAAUGCACUUGAUACUGGAUGACUAGAGGACCGGAGAGGAUAGUGGAAUUCCCAGUGUAGUGGUGAAAUACGUAGAGAUUGGGAAGAACACCAGUGGCGAAGGCGGCUAUCUGGACGGUUUCUGACGCUAAGACGCGAAAGCGUGGGGAGCAAACAGG
rnacentral:rRNA from 1 species